rnacentral:rRNA from 1 species
UUUGAUCAUGGCUCAGGAUGAACGCUGGCGGCGUGCCUAACACAUGCAAGUCGAGCGAGAAUUUGUGGAAUGCGGACUUCGGUCCAAAUGAAAUGAAGGAAAGCGGCGGACGGGUGAGUAACGCGUGGGUAACCUGCCCCAUACAAUGGGAUAGCCACUGGAAACGGUGAUUAAUACCAUAUGAAGCUUCAUGGUCGCAUGGCUGAGAAGUUAAGGAUUUAUCGGUAUGGGAUGGACCCGCGUCUGAUUAGCUAGUUGGUGAGGUAACGGCUCACCAAGGCGACGAUCAGUAGCCGACCUGAGAGGGUGAUCGGCCACACUGGAACUGAGACACGGUCCAGACUCCUACGGGGGGCAGCAGUGGGGAAUAUUGCACAAUGGGCGCAAGCCUGAUGCAGCAACGCCGUGUGAGUGAAGAAGGCCUUCGGGUCGUAAAACUCUGUCCUAUGGGAAGAAAAAAAUGACGGUACCAUAGGAGGAAGCCCCGGCUAACUACGUGCCAGCCGCCGCGGUAAUC